rnacentral:rRNA from 1 species
GAUGAACGCUGGCGGCGUGCCUAAUACAUGCAAGUCGAGCGAACGGAUGAGAAGCUUGCUUCUCUGAUGUUAGCGGCGGACGGGUGAGUAACACGUGGAUAACCUACCUAUAAGACUGGGAUAACUUCGGGAAACCGGAGCUAAUACCGGAUAAUAUUUUGAACCGCAUGGUUCAAAAGUGAAAGACGGUCUUGCUGUCACUUAUAGAUGGAUCCGCGCUGCAUUAGCUAGUUGGUAAGGUAACGGCUUACCAAGGCAACGAUGCAUAGCCGACCUGAGAGGGUGAUCGGCCACACUGGAACUGAGACACGGUCCAGACUCCUACGGGAGGCAGCAGUAGGGAAUCUUACGCAAUGGGCGAAAGCCUGACGGAGCAACGCCGCGUGAGUGAUGAAGGUCUUCGGAUCGUAAAACUCUGUUAUUAGGGAAGAACAUAUGUGUAAGUAACUGUGCACAUCUUGACGGUACCUAAUCAGAAAGCCACGGCUAACUACGUG